AUACGGAGGGUGCGAGCGUUAAUCGGAAUUACUGGGCGUAAAGCGUACGUAGGCGGUUGGUUAAGUUAGAUGUGAAAGCCCCGGGCUUAACCUGGGAACUGCAUUUAAAACUGGCGAACUAGAGUUGAGUAGAGGGGAGUGGAAUUUCAGGUGUAGCGGUGAAAUGCGUAGAGAUCUGAAGGAACACCAGUGACGAAGGCGGCUCCCUGGCUUAAAACUGACGCUGAGGUACAAAAGUGUGGGUAGCAAACAGGAUUAGAAACCCCGGUAGUCC
rnacentral:rRNA from 1 species